rnacentral:RNase_P_RNA from 1 species
GAGGAAAGUCCGGGCUCUAUUUAGAGAAUUAUAGUUGUAGAAAAUACAGUGUAGAUGACUGCGAGGAUAGUGCCACAGAAAAAAACCGCCUUUUGUGUUAUUUUAAAUAAAAGGUAAGGGUGCAAUGGUACGGUAAGAGCGUACCAGAAAUAUUAUUAAAAUAUUUGCUAGGUAAACCCCAUAUUAGAGCAAAGUAAUUAGUUAAUAUAAAAUUCUAUUAUUAUAUUAUAAUUAAUACUGAUUUAUUUAUAUACUGCAUGAAGUAAUAUUUUUAUUACUCUAGAUUAAUAAUUACCCUUUUUGUUUAUUAUUAUUUAUAUCAUAUAAUGUCAAAUAAGAACAAAACCCGGCUUAU